rnacentral:rRNA from 1 species
AACGAACGCUGGCGGCAUGCCUAACACAUGCAAGUCGAACGGAUGCAGCAAUGCAUCAGUGGCAGACGGGUGAGUAACACGUGGGAAUCUACCCAGUCGCCUGGAAUAACCGCGGGAAACUGCGGCUAAUACCGGAUACGCCCCUCGGGGGAAAGGAGCAAUCCACUAUUGGAGGAGCCCGCGUCCGAUUAGCUAGUUGGUGAGGUAACGGCUCACCAAGGCGAUGAUCGGUAGCUGGUUUGAGAGAACGACCAGCCACACCGGGACUGAGGCACGGCCCAGACUCCUACGGGAGGCAGCAGUGGGGAAUAUUGGACAAUGGGGGAAACCCUGAUCCAGCGAUGCCGCGUGGGUGAUGAAGGCCUUCGGGUUGUAAAGCCCUUUUGGCGGGGACGAUGAUGACGGUACCCGCAGAAGAAGCCCCGGCUAACUUCGUGCCAGCCGCCGCCGUAA